rnacentral:lncRNA from 1 species
CAGGAGUUAGAUUCUAUUAUAUUUAUUUACUCACUAGGAGAGCAUUUAGUGAGUUUACAAUGUGGCGAAAGAGGAGUGGUUCUCAAACCCUAAUCUGCAACAAGAAACAGCCGGGAGCUUGCUUAUACUAAAGCUUCUGAGCUGCCACUCCCAGAGUCCAGCUUAGAGUGCCAUAGGGCCAGGAAUGUGCAUUUGCACAGCUCUCUGGGGAUGCUGAUACAGGGGACCAAAGACUAUCUACUGAGGCCCAGUGUAACUUUACUGUGAGACAACUAAGUCACCUUCCCACCCGGAGAUGCCUCCUGAGCUGACCACAGGGCGGCCACACCUGGCAUCUGGAAGAGGCUCUGGGAGGGUCCAAACAACAAACCACGCGGCGUUCUCUGGUGGCUGUGCUGGGACGAGUGGGCGGAAACAGCCGCAGGACCUGAAGGAAGUCACGCCCAUGGGCCAGACCUAACGUUCUUUAAUGCUGACUCUCAAUUUUUAAAUAGAGCUUCCCUUCCUUAACCAACUGCAAAUCAGAAAAUUGUUGAAUCCCCUACCCCGUGACCUGUAAGCCCCUGCUUCAAGAUAUCCUGUGUGUUAAGGUCAAACCAAUAUGUAGCCUCCAUGUAUUGACUUAUGACUUUGUGUGUAACCUCUGCCUGCCUGCCUUUAGAAACCCUUGCUUGCAAGCCACUGGGAAGGUCAGGUGAGCUGCCUGAUUCUCCUUGCUGGGUGCCCUGAAAAUAAACACCCUCCUUUCUCUCACUACAAAACCUCAGUUUGAAUGUUUGGCUUCACUGCCCUGGAGGCACAGACCUCAGUUCAGUUGGGCAACAUGGGUCUCGGGGUGCUGAAAGCCACUUUUUAUUUUCAUUAGGGACUUGCUCAUGCCAAACAUCCUGAAUUUAAGUAGAACUUACUAGGUUUGGGGUGUUUGUGGGAUGGGGUCCCCUUGUGGAGCCCUGAGCCUUCUGCCAUCCCCUAUCUCUGGUCCCCACUAAUUUUUUUUUUUUUUUUUUGAGAUGACAUUUUGCUCUGUCACCCAGUCUGGAAUGCAGUGGCACAAUUUCAACUGACUGCAACCUCCACGUCUCAGGUUCAAGCCAUUCUCCUGCCUAGCCUCCCAAGUAGCUAGGAUUACAGGCAUGUGCCAUCACACCCGUAAUGUUUGUAUUUUUAGUAGAGAUGGGAUUUCAUCACAUUGGCCAGGCUGGUCUCAAACUCCUGACCUCAAGUGAUCCACCUGCCUUGGCCUCCCAAAAUGCUGAGAUUACAGGCAUGAGCCACCCCAUGCCUGGCCCCUCUGGUUCUCACUAAUUCUAACCUGGAUUGGCUCCUUUGUGCUCCAAUUCUUUCCCUGCUUCAAUGCAAAGGUUUCACUUUCCUUUGAGGCCUUACUGUACAGGCCAACAUCCCGGAGGUGUCAGCCUCUGUCCCCAGUUGACUUUCACAAGCCCACCAAGCACUUGGCAAAAUAAAGGCCUUCCUGUUAACACCAUCUGGUGUUAGGGUACACUGGGUAGCAAAAAUGUGUCCCUUCUGCAUACAUAAUCCACAUAUCCCCAAGCUUUCUCUGUCCACGGUAAUGGCUUGAGCCUCCACUCCUGUGGCCCUUCAGCAAAUCCAGUCCUCUCACCUCCCCAUAUUUUUAAGGGUCCCUUAGGGAGGGGCCAGUUACCUAUUGUCUUACUCUAGAAGUCAUUGCUUGGGUCCUCUUGCAGGUUAACUCUGGCCUUUUGGCAGCUCCUAAUCUGUGCCGCAGAGCUGCCCUCAGCUCAGCCUCUCUGCAGCAGGGUGGGUACAGGAGCCCCCUUCCCACUCCCUGGAGAAUGGUGAACAUUCUCACUACUGAUCGUCUCUGCCUCCACCCUUGCCUGCUCCUGCCCUGCCCUGGAGCUCACCUCCUGGCCCAGAAUCUCUUGCUCCCUGUGAUGGUUAAUAAUGUCAAUUUGAUUGGAUUGAAGGAUGCAAGUAUUGAUCCUGGGUGUGUCUCUGAAGGUGUUGCCAAAGGAGAGUAACAUUUGAGUCAGUGGGCUGAGGAAGGCAGACCCACCCUUAAUCUGGGUGGGCACUAUCUAAUCAGCUGCCAGUGUGGCCAGGAUAUAAAGCAGGCAGAAAAACAUGAAAAAGCUAGAUUGGCUUAGCCUCCCAGCCUACAUGUUUCUCAUGUGCUGGAUGCUUCCUGCCCUCAAACAUCAGACAAGUUCUUCAGCUUUGGAACUUGGACUGGCUUCCUUGCUCCUCAGCUUGCAGAUGGCCUAUUGUGGGACUCUGUGAUCCUCUAAGCUAAUACUACUUAAUAAACUCCCCUUUAUAUAUAUCUAUCUAUCCUAUUAGUUCUGUCCCUCUAGAGAACCCUGACUAAUAUAGAUUUUCGUACCAGGAGUGGUUCUAGAGGAACAGAAUAUUAAGGAUGGAGUUCUUUAGUUGGUUUUGGGGUUUCUGGAGUUGGCUGCUUAAUAUGAUUAGACCCCAAAAUGCUAAGGACUCUACUGCUAAUAGUACAGAGAACACUAAUAGCCAUUGGUGUGAACUCUUCAGAGAAUUAUGCAAAAUAAAUGCAUUUGAUACUCCUGAUUCACCCCUCAUGAGAGGUAAGGAGUUUAGUGACUCUAUACAUAAUACCUUGGACUAUAUGUGGAGAACCAAGGAACGUAAUGAAGUUGGUUGGUUGCUCCUAAGUUCGCUGGGCAAAGUUAUGAAAGAAAAUGAUGAACUCAGGACUUAUACACUCCCUAACCCUUGUCCCUUGCUCCUCCCUAUCUCCUUACCCCAACCAGAGGAAGCAAAAAUGCCUUAAUGCCAUAAAUAAUUUCUACAGACUCCCUAUCUAAAACAAAGAUGGAUUUCUACUUAACAUCUCAGUCUGAAGCACUUGCAUAUAGAUUUCUCCACUGUUUGUUGUUGUUGUUGUUUUCAAGAAGAAGCCUUGCUGGGGAAAAGGAAGAUUCUCUCCAUCCUGCUUCUACCCUACAGUACCCUAAAGGAUACAGCUUUUUUCCUCUAAUGUUUUAUUUUUAAAAG